AACAACCAAAUUUUUGGUUGAAAUUCAAAUUAAAAUAUUAGUUGUUUUUACUUGAUUUUUUGUUAAACCUAACUGAAGUUUUUUGUUGAAACAAAUUGUUUUCUUAGAUAUUUUCAAACUGAAAUAUAUGUUUAAUUAUAAUCAGAUUUUUGUUGUUAUAAACAAAUAUAUUUGUAGUUUCUAACAAAUGUGUGCAUUGUUUUUACCAUUCUUUGGGUUGUUGGAAAUCGCCAUUCAGCAGCGGUUCAUUAGUACUAAAUUUAUUUGGGCUGAAGAGCCAGCCAUCUUGAGAAAAUUGUUGAGCAUAUUUAGAAUCAGUCGUUAUCUAGUAAAGUUCUAUCCGCUAGCCGUAUGGUGUUUUGAAAAGACUCCGUAAAUUUUAGAUGAUUCCUUUACAGUGGUACCAUAGAUAUCGGAAACUGAAUUCCCUCCAUCUGAGUCAUAUUUAUAGGUAUUAAUAGCUGUAAUAAUUUGCGUAAUGUUACUUUAUUUCUAUUUAACUUCUUGCAGAUAAAGUAAAAGGAAUCGAACAACCGUCAAAAUGAUUUUUUCGCCGAUUCGACUGGAUUAUUUCAUCAGAUUUCUCUUUUUGAAAAUAGCUGCAAUGGAAGCAAUACAAACGGUAACAAGCGGAAAUUGGAGUUCGGGGAAUUUUAACGCUCAAUCAAAACCAUUAUUUCUAUUUCUUUUAGUGGUAAAAAUGCGAAGU